rnacentral:rRNA from 5 species
GAACUGGCAACUUGGAGAAGUGGCAAGUCUUCCAGUAUGGGGAGCAAAACAGCUAUGGGUCAAGUCCGAUAUCUUUAGGAGAAGUCUUAUUGUGAGGGCGAGUUAUAUAACACCAUAGGACUGGCCGUCCCAUAUGAAAAGAUUAUAUUAGAAUUGAAUGAAGCUUUGUUUAUAUAUUGAUAAUGACAGUAUAUAUAUCGUGUCUUGACUAAUUGCGUGCCAGCAGUCGCGGUAAUACGUAAGAGACUAGUGUUAUUCAUCUUAAUUAGGUUUAAAGGGUACCCAGACGGUCAAUAUAGCUUAUAAAAUGUUAGUACUUGACUAGAGUUUUAUGUAAGAGGGCAGUACUUGAGGAGGAGAGAUGAAAUUUCGUGAUACCAAAGGGACUCUGUAAAGGCGAAGGCAGCCCUCUAUGUAAAAACUGACGUUGAAGGACGAAGGCACAGAGAACAAACAGGAUUAGAUACCCAAGUAGUCUUUGCAGUAAAUGAUGAAUGCCAUAGGUUAGAUUGAUCAAUUAUAGUCUAGGGUUAGUCUAGCAAACUAAUGCCCUAUGAUAUAAUUCAAAAUAUCUGGUCUAUAAAUGAAAGUGUAAGCAUUUCACCUCAAGAGUAAUGUGGCAACGCAGGAACUGAAAUCACUAGA